rnacentral:rRNA from 1 species
UUGAACGCUGGCGGCAUGCCUUACACAUGCAAGUCGAACGGUAGAGGGGCAACCCUUGAGAAUGGCGAACGGGUGAGUAAUAUAUCGGAACGUGCCCAGUCGUGGGGGAUAACGCAGCGAAAGCUGCGCUAAUACCGCAUACGAUCUAUGGAUGAAAGCGGGGGAUCGCAAAGACCUCGCGCGAUUGGAGCGGCCGAUAUCAGAUUAGGUAGUUGGUGGGGUAAAAGCCCACCAAGCCGACGAUCUGUAGCUG